GAUGAACGCCGGCGGCGUGCCUAAUACAUGCAAGUCGAGCGAACGGACGAGAAGCUUGCUUUUCUGAUGUUAGCGGCGGACGGGUGAGUAACACGUGGAUAACCUACCUAUAAGACUGGGAUAACUUCGGGAAACCGGAGCUAAUACCGGAUAAUAUUUUGAACCGCAUGGUUCAAAAGUGAAAGACGGUCUUGCUGUCACUUAUAGAUGGAUCCGCGCUGCAUUAGCUAGUUGGUAAGGUAACGGCUUGCCAAGGCAACGAUGCAUAGCCGACCUGAGAGGGUGAUCGGCCACACUGGAACUGAGACACGGUCCAGACUCCUACGGGAGGCAGCAGUAGGGAAUCUUCCGCAAUGGGCGAAAGCCUGACGGAGCAACGCCGCGUGAGUGAUGAAGGUCUUCGGAUCGUAAAACUCUGUUAUUAGGGAAGAACAUAUGUGUAAGUAACUGUGCACAUCUUGACGGUACCUAAUCAGAAAGCCACGGCUAACUACGUG
rnacentral:rRNA from 1 species